rnacentral:rRNA from 1 species
UACGGGGGGGGCAAGCGUUGUUCGGAAUUACUGGGCGUAAAGGACUUGUAGGUGGCCAACUAAGUCAGACGUGAAAUCCCUCGGCUUAACCGGGGAACUGCGUCUGAUACUGGAUGGCUUGAGUGUGGGAGAGGGAUGCGGAAUUCCAGGUGUAGCGGUGAAAUGCGUAGAUAUCUGGAGGAACACCGGUGGCGAAGGCGGCAUCCUGGACCAACACUGACGCUGAUGAGCGAAAGCCAGGGGAGCAAACGGG